AUCUGCGUGGCAUAGUGGUUUGAGUGUUGGACUAUGACUCUGAAGACCAGGUUUCGAAUCCUUACUCAGCCA